CUCCUGCAUAACCAAAACAGAAGUGCAAAGAAAAGUUCAGAAUUGCGCAGCUUUUUCUCAAACAGUUUCUAGUAAUCUUUGGAGUAUUUAGUAUUAUUAAGAUACAGAUUAGGUCACAUUCCAGAAUUAAAUUCCUUUUUUUUUAAUUAUAGUACUAACCACAAAAAUAACUUUGUUUGCUAGACUCACCUGAUGCCUGAAACAUCACAGCUGCGCUAUUCUGAAUGCAACAGAUCUGUAUAUUGUAAUAGACCAAGAAAUCCACAAGAAAAAAAAUUCCCUUAAAAUACAUAUACACAUACUCUUGUAAACAAUGUACUGAUAUUGUUCAACAUGUACAUAUGUAUAAUGUAAGCAAUUUUUGGUUACAUAAUGUCUUGGGUAGGCAUGCUUGUUACAUCUAGCUUGUUAAAUCUCAAAAUUCAAUUUUCAUUUUGGAGAUAAUUUUAUUCCAAUGGAUAAAUAAGAUGAUUUAUCCAAGAUCCGAAAAUGAGCUGUCUUGUAAACUAGGUUCAGGGAGAAAACAAAAACUAGGAAGUCAGGGUCUGGCUGAGCCAUGACAGAAAUACUGUAUAUUCCUUGUCACAUUGCAGCACGCAAAUUCCACAGAUUUCUACCAAAAAGAGCCUGACUAACACUUGUAUGAAAGCUUAGUCAACUACAGCUGUGUCUUAGUCUGGAGGAGCCCAUGACAAAUAAACAGAAGCAGCUCUGCUUUCCUCUUGGAACCAGGUUUGGUACCGACAGAUAAAAUCCAUUCAGGCAGCACAUGAGAAACUCAAGCGCAAGUUAUCAAAACAAGGAUCAGCCAAAUAUGGCAAGUUGUAAAGAUGUUCAAGACGUAGCUCUGGUACGCCCCUGAAGCUAUUUUGUCUUUGAAAAUCCCACUGCAUCGUCCUCCGGUGACUGAAAUUACAACUGCUGUAAACCAUGGAGACAGCCAUGAAAAUCACUGUUCUGGACCAGAGUGGCACUGAAACCAAAGACCCAUUUGCUGCAUUUUCAUGAGAUCAAGAUACAGGACAAAUGAGGAGGAACAGCCACUACUCACCAAGUCCUCAGGCAUGGAACACUGGUCUGAGCCCUCAGUCUGAAAGAAAAGGGUAUGAGAGCUAUUCUAAAGCUGUAUG